CAAUACGAGAGUGAAACUGCGAACGGCUCAUUAUAUAAGUUAUCGUUUAUUUGAUAGUGCCUAUCCUACACGGAUAACAGUGGUAAUUCUAGAGCUAAUACGUGCCAACUGCCCCGACUUCGGAAGGGGCGUGUUUGUCAGAAUCAGAACCAAUGCCCUUCGGGGCUCCCUGGUGGCUCAUGACAACCCUACAGAGCGCAUGGCCUCGCGCCGGCGCCGGCUCAUUCAAAUUUCUUCCCUAUCAACUUUCGACGGUACGGUCUUGGCCUACCGUGGUUACAACGGGUAACGGAGGGUUAGGGCUCGACCCCGGAGAGGGAGCCUGAGAAACGGCUACCACAUCCAAGGAAGGCAGCAGCCGCGCAAAUUAUCCAAUCCCGACUCGGGGAGAUAGUGACAAUAAAUACCGAUACAGGGCUCUUUUGGGCCCCGUAAUUGGAAUGAGUACAAUUUAAACCUCUUAACGAGGAACAAUUGGAGGGCAAGUCUGGUGCCAGCAGCCGCGGUAAUUCCAGCUCCAAUAGCGUAUAUUAAAGUUGUUGUGGUUAAAAAGCUCGUAGUCGAACCUCGGGCUCGGCCGGCCGGUCCGCCUCACCGCGUGCACUGGCCCGGCCGGGCUCUUCUCCCUGCGGAACCGCAUGCCCUUCACUGGGCGUGCCGGGGAAGCAGGACUUUUACUUUGAAAAAAUUANAGUGCUCAAGGCAGGCCAAUGCUCGGAUACAUUAGCAUGGAAUAAUGGAAUAGGACGUUGGUUCUAUUUUGUUGGUUUCUAGGACCGCCGUAAUGAUCAAUAGGGACGGUCGGGGGCGUCAGUAUUCAGCCGCGAGAGGUGAAAUUCUUAGACCGGCUGAAGACUAACUACUGCGAAAGCAUUCGCCAAGGACGUUUUCGCUGAUCAGGAACGAAAGUUAGGGGAUCGAAGACGAUCAGAUACCGUCGUAGUCUUAACCAUAAACGGUGCCGACUUGGGAUCGGGCGCUGCUGAAUUUACGGCGCGCUCGGCACCAUUCGAGAAAUCAAAGUGCGUGGGCUCCAGGGGGAGUAUGGCGGCAACGCUGAAACUUAAAGAAAUUGACGGAAGGGCACCACCAGGGGUGGAACCUGCGGCUUAAUUUGACUCAACACGGGGAAACUCACCAGGUCCAGACACAAUGAGGAUUGACGGAUUGAUAGCUCCUUCUUGAUUUUGUGGGUGGUGGUGCAUGGCCGUUCUUAGUUGGUGGGGUGACUUGUCUGCCUAAUCGCGAUAACGAACGAGACCUUGACUGCUAAAUAGCACGCGCCGCUUCGGCGGCGUCGCGGCUUCUUAGUGGGACUCU
rnacentral:rRNA from 1 species